rnacentral:rRNA from 1 species
GGGGAAUAUUGCACAAUGGACGAAAGUCUGAUGCAGCAACGCCGCGUGGAGGAUGACACAUUUCGGUGCAUAAACUCCUUUUAUAUAAGAAGAUAAUGACGGUAUUAUAUGAAUAAGCACCGGCUAACUCCGUGCCAGCAGCCGCGGUAAUACGGAGGGUGCAAGCGUUACUCGGAAUCACUGGGCGUAAAGAGCGUGUAGGCGGAUUGAUAGGUUUGAAGUGAAAUCCUAUAGCUUAACUAUAGAACUGCUUUGAAAACUGUUAAUCUAGAAUGUGGGAGAGGUAGAUGGAAUUUCUGGUGUAAGGGUAAAAUCCGUAGAGAUCAGAAGGAAUACCAAUUGCGAAGGCGAUCUACUGGAACAAUAUUGACGCUGAGACGCGAAAGCGUGGGGAGCAAACAGGA